CUGACUAGAUAGGCCGCAGAGCUCGGAGCGCGACACUUGACAGGGUGAGAUAACAGCCGCCAGAUCUCGGGAUUCGGUGCACGCUUCUAUAUAUGAUGUAAGUGUGCCCGCCGUAAUUCAUGGCGAAUGUCGCUGACGUGGCGUCUAAAGAUCGCAGAUCGCUCUCGUUCUCACGUAAUCUGCUUCACAGCCCAUAAAUCCAUCUGCCCAUUCAUAUAGUUGAGCUAUUUACGGACUCACAAUAGCUUUUUUUAUUUCCUGGUAGUGCACUUUCUACGUUUGUAUAAUACUCAGUCGGCAUCUAUGAAUUUCACAAGGAUUUUCACAUCAGAAUAGCCCAGAAGGAAAUUAGUUAAACAAGCUUUCAAGUGCAAAGAUAAUGGGUGGACGAGAUAAGGAUUACCCUGCAUACUUUCAGUCUGUUUAUUUUCAUCUGUUCGAGGAUUUACGAGCUGUUUAUUUUCUAGAGGAGCUCUGAAUGUUGUAUUGCCUACUUUUGGGCGAAUACCUUUCCUGAAUGGUUUCUGUGACAUAUCCCACACAUUGAGAAUCUUUUCAUGUUCAAAUUAUGUAUCCAACGAUGCAUAUACACUUUUAUUUUCUUUUUUUUUUAAACUGCAAAAUUUUAUUAAUUCAAGUGUUAUAUUGUGAGCAAACAAAUAAAAUGGUUGUUUUGUAGUAAAACAUAAAAAUUGUAAAUUCGAUUUUUUUUUGAUAUUUGCUUUUGAUUUUGUGAUCGCACCGCACACAUUAAUAUCUUUCAUGUUUUUAACUAAAAAUAGUUAAAACGCAGUUAGGCGUACAAGUGUUAAUCUUAUCUCAGAGCAUUAAAAAUAGCGUAUACGACAUGUUGGCCAGUUUAUGUUUUCUUCAAAAAUGUCUCAACAGCAUUACACUAGUUACUCGGCCAUUAGAAAGUCAAACAUCCCAAAAACUAUAGACAAAAAUGUAAUUUAAAAUGAGAAAGUUUAUUAUAAUUAAACCUAAAACACAUAAAACGUGGAAACCCAAUAAAACAUAUCCCUUUAACCCUUUAACAAGUCUGAUUAACCUCCAGCAGUCCCUUUCUAUCGAAGAAGGGAACCAGCGAAUGUAAAUUUUGUUGCACUGUAGGAUUGUUAUAUAAUCGGUUCUUAAACCGAGUGCCACGCUCAUCGUCGUUCAUCAAGGCAUUGAAACAGGCAUCCGUGGGAUCUUGGCUGAUCAUAACUGGCUGCACCACUACCGUAGAAUGCAAAGC